GCUGCAUCUAUCUUGUACUAUCUCCGGCAUGUCUAGCAAACCAGCUAAAAAUAAAAUUCACUAGUACAACUAUAAAAUCAAAGCCAAAAAUCCUGUCAAAAACGUUGUAGUUUGUUCUAUAUUUGUAUCCCAGAGAAAUCUCAGAAACUGUCCACAAGAAUUCUAUUCAGGUUCCCUGAAAAAUUUAUGGCAUUAAUCCACAGGUAAAACGCCUUCCCUUUUAAGUUGGUAUCAUCUCAAUAAAGGGUGACCCAAUGCACAAAGC
rnacentral:misc_RNA from 1 species